UGAAUGUCUAAGCCAUGCGAGUCAUUGUAGCAUACAAGGCAUACGGCUCAGUAACGCGUAGUCAACCUAACCUAUGGACGGGAAUAACCUCGGGAAACUGAGAAUAAUGCCCGAUAGAACACUAUACCUGGAAUGGUUUGUGUUCCAAAUGAUUUAUCGCCAUAGGAUGGGACUGCGGCCUAUCAGUUUGUUGGUGAGGUAAUGGCCCACCAAGACUAUUACAGGUACGGGCUCUGAGAGGAGUAGCCCGGAGAUGGGUACUGAGACACGGACCCAGGCCCUAUGGGGCGCAGCAGGCGAGAAAACUUUGCAAUGUGCGAAAGCACGACAAGGUUAAUCCGAGUGAUUUGUGCUAAACGAAUCUUUUGUUAGUCCUAGAAACACUAACGAAUAAGGGGUGGGCAAGUUCUGGUGUCAGCCGCCGCGGUAAAACCAGCACCUCAAGUGGUUUUUUAUGAUUAUUGGGCCUAAAGCAUCCGUAGCCGGCUCUGUAAGGGUGUCGGUUAAAUCUGUACGCUUAACGUACAGGCUGCCGGGAAUACUGCCAGAGCUAGGGAGUGGGAGAGGUAGACGGUACUCGGUAGAAGUGGCAAAAUGCUUUGAUCUAUCGAUUGACCAUCUGUGACGAGCGCGGUCUAGCAGAAUAUCUUUCUGAACGGUGAGCG
rnacentral:rRNA from 1 species